rnacentral:rRNA from 2 species
CGCCCAACAGCUAGCCCCCACCACCAAAAACAACAAAACCCUAUUUAUAACCCCAAAAACACUAACCAGUUAGAAAACAAACCAUUUUACCUCCCCAAGUAUAGGCGAUAGAAAAG